UACAGAGGUCCCAAGCGUUGUUCGGAUUCACUGGGCGUAAAGGGUGCGUAGGUGGUUGACUACGUUUGAUGUGAAAUCUCCGAGCUUAACUCGGAAACUGCAUUGAAUACUGUUUGACUAGAGGAUUGGAGGGGGGGCUGGAAUUCUCGGUGUAGCAGUGAAAUGCGUAGAUAUCGAGAGGAACACCAGUGGCGAAGGCGAGUCCCUGGACAACUCCUGACACUGAGGCACGAAAGCUAGGGGAGCAAACAGG
rnacentral:rRNA from 1 species